GACGAACCGUGCGAACGUUGUCCGGAAUUAUUGGGCGUAAAGAGCUCGUAGGCGGUUUGUUGCGUCGGCUGUGAAAUCCCGAGGCUCAACCUCGGGUCUGCAGUCGAUACGAGCAAACUAGAGUGUUGCAGGGGAGACUGGAAUUCCUGGUGUAGCGGUGAAAUGCGCAGAUAUCAGGAGGAACACCGGUGGCGAAGGCGGGUCUCUGGGCAACAACUGACGCUGAGGAGCGAAAGCGUGGGGAGCGAACAGG
rnacentral:rRNA from 1 species